rnacentral:piRNA from 1 species
UGAGCAAAAUAUCGAACCACAGCUUCCCUGU